rnacentral:piRNA from 1 species
UGAACUUCAUGGUUCUUGUGCCUUUGCCUC